UUUACUUUUUUUAUGUAGUGC
rnacentral:siRNA from 1 species